rnacentral:lncRNA from 1 species
CCUUUGUUUCAACUCCUCAAGAUCUUUUUCUUUUUUUACCUUAAUUAGCUUUGAAAUCUCUUGGUCCUACUUCUUUCCUUCAAUUAUCAAUUUAAGCUUAAAAUUGCUUAAAUCCUAAGGCAUAUGUAGUGCAAUACCUCUUAUAGAAGGUCCUCAUAGUUUGAGAUCCUUUAGUCUAAGGUGGGACCACCUUCCUUCUACAUUUGAUCACAUGUUUUUUUUAUUUUUUUAUUGCUUUAUUUAAAAUUUAAAUGUCAAAUGGAAUUUAGACAAACAAAUAAACAUGUGCUUUAUCAAACUUUAUAGGCUAUGUGAGGUGGAAAGUAAGAAAAAUUGCUAGUAAUAGGU